rnacentral:rRNA from 1 species
AUGAGGGAGGAGAUUAACAAGAAGAGCAAGGUCUCCUGGUCCAAAUCCCUCGUCAGGAAGUGGUUCAACAUCAAGGGCAAGGCGCAGGAUUUCCACGCGGACUACGACGCCACCACCCAAGGACGGGAUGGUGGUGAUGAACGGAGGACCAGCUGCUCGCAGAGGGACGCAGGCGCUGCCAAGAAAAGCAGAACUGACCGGUCACUGAAGCGGAAUGUUGACCGCGUUCUUAGAUCAAGAAAUGAGUUUGAUGUGUCACGCCUGACAGAAGCUCAAGAUUACAGAAUCUUUGCCUCGACGUGGAAUGUUGGUGGCAAAUGCCCGUCAAGAGGGUUAGAUUUAGAUGACUGGCUCCAUUCUUCACCCCCUGCUGAUAUCUAUGUGCUCGGAUUUCAAGAAAUUGUUCCUUUGAAUGCUGGAAAUGUUCUUGGUACCGAAGACAAUGUUCCAGCAAAGAAGUGGGUAUCACUUAUUAGGAGGACGCUAAACAAGAACCCUGGGCCUAGCAGUCAUGGUGGCUAUCGCACGCCAUCCCCUGUCCCUGAUCCGGUUGUGGAACUAGAUGCUGAUUUUGAGGGAUCAUUGAGAAGACAGGAUAGCUCAUCAUUUUUCCACCGUCGAUCAUUCCAGAACCUUAGUCGGAGUUUAAGGGUUUCAGGAAAUGAUAUGUUCUCACAACCACGAUUGGACCGUAGGUUUAGUGUGUGUGACCCAGUUAACAUUGGAGGCAGACCAAGUGAUUUUGAUGGAAAUUUCCAGUGUAUCGGAUCACCAGGCGAUGAAUAUAUUGAUGAGGAUACAAGUAAUGGAACAUAUUUCUCACCAUUCCCAUAUGGCUAUGGUACUUCAACACCUAUGGAAGAAGAUGAUGAGCAGCCAAAUACUUCUAGGUAUUGUUUGGUUGCCAGCAAACAAAUGGUUGGCAUAUUUCUCACAGUUUGGGUACGCAGUGAAAUAAGAAACGAUAUAAGAAACCUGAAAGUUUCCUGCGUAGGUAGAGGACUAAUGGGUUAUCUUGGAAAUAAGGGUUCUAUAUCAAUAAGCAUGUCUCUGCAUUAUACAACCUUCUGUUUUGUCUGUUGUCAUUUGACCUCUGGGGAAAAGGAGGGGGAUGAAUUGCGCAGAAAUUCUGAUGUCAUGGAGAUCUUAAGAAAGACAAGGUUUCCUCGUGUCCGCGGAUGUGGUGAUGUGAAGUCACCAGAAACAAUUCUUGAGCAUGACCGUAUCUUAUGGCUUGGUGAUCUGAAUUACCGGAUUUCUCUUCCAUACUCGUCAGCAAAAGUUCUGGUUGAAACACAUAACUGGAGGCAACUGUUGGAGAGAGAUCAGCUUCGUAUACAGCGGAGAUGUGGACGUGUUUUCCCGGGAUGGAAAGAAGGAAGAAUUUAUUUUCCUCCAACAUAUAAAUACUCUUUCAACUCAGACCGGUAUUCUGGUUAUGGUGUGCGUCCCAAGGAAAAGAGGCGAACGCCAGCUUGGUGUGAUCGUAUUUUGUGGCAUGGUACCGGCCUCAUUCAGUUAUCAUAUGUCCGAGGAGAAUCACGCUUCUCCGAUCACAGACCAGUGUACAGUAUUUUCAUGGCGGAGGUUGAAAUUCUCCACCAGAGGAGAAGAAACCUGGGCUAUUUCAGCUCUAGAGUUGAGGUGGAAGAGCUGUUGCCAUAUUCUCACAGCCAUGGAAACUUAAAGUUCUACUAA